CUUGCGAUUGCGAUAACUUGCGGG
rnacentral:miRNA from 9 species